GCCCUGGUGGCACAACAGUUAAGCAGUCGGCUGCAAACUGAAAGGUUGGUGGUUCGAACCCAUCCAGUGGCU
rnacentral:tRNA from 1 species